rnacentral:rRNA from 1 species
GAUGAACGCUGGCGGCGUGCCUAAUACAUGCAAGUCGAGCGAACGGACGAGAAGCUUGCUUCUCUGAUGUUAGCGGCGGACGGGUGAGUAACACGUGGAUAACCUACCUAUAAGACUGGGAUAACUUCGGGAAACCGUAGCUAAUACCGGAUAAUAUUUUGAACCGCAUGGUUCAAAAGUGAAAGACGGUCUUGCUGUCACUUAUAGAUGGAUCCGCGCUGCAUUAGCUAGUUGGUAAGGUAACGGCUUACCAAGGCAACGAUGCAUAGCCGACCUGAGAGGGUGAUCGGCCACACUGGAACUGAGACACGGUCCAGACUCCUCCGGGAGGCAGCAGUAGGGAAUCUUCCGCAAUGGGCGAAAGCCUGACGGAGCAACGCCGCGUGAGUGAUGAAGGUCUUCGGAUCGUAAAACUCUGUUAUUAGGGAAGAACAUAUGUGUAAGUAACUGUGCACAUCUUGACGGUACCUAAUCAGAAAGCCACGGCUAACUACGUG